rnacentral:rRNA from 1 species
UACGUAGGGUGCGAGCGUUAAUCGGAAUUACUGGGCGUAAAGCGUGCGCAGGCGGUUUUCCAAGACAGAUGUGAAAUCCCCGGGCUCAACCUGGGAAUGGCAUUUGUGACUGGAAGGCUAGAGUGUGUCAGAGGGGGGUAGAAUUCCACGUGUAGCAGUGAAAUGCGUAGAGAUGCGGAGGAACACCGAUGGCGAAGGCAGCCCCCUGGGCUGACACUGACGCUCAGGCACGAAAGCGUGGGGAGCAAACAGG